AUUUAAUAAUUUUACGAAGCAAAUACCAAGCUGAGUGGGCGCAUGCUUCAGCUUUCCGUAUUUCAAUAUCAAGUGAACAGACAUAAAGUAUUGAAUUGAUCAAACGAGGGAUAUAAAGAAAUCAUUGCUGUCAAGAAGUCAUCGCUACAUUCUGACAUUAUUCUAUAACGUUCAACGAUGGGAGAUGUUGGAAUCGGAAUUGAUUUCGGAACCUCGUUUUCUUGUGUUGCAGUUUGUAGAGAUGGAAAGGUCGAAGUGAUUGCGAACGAGCAUGACAAGCGAUUGACACCUUCGUACGUUGCAUUUACUGAGGAAGAAAGAUUGUAUGGCGACGCUGCAAGACAUCAAAACCCAUUGAAUCUAAAGAAUACAUUCUAUCAAACUAAAAUGUUACUUGGGCGAAAGUAUGAAGAGAUUCCAAAAGGCGCAUUUAUUGGAUAUGAUAUAGAAGCUUCAGACUCUAAGUUGAAAUUACCAUUUAUCUACAAAGGAAAAAAUAAACCUUUAAGUCCGGAGCAAGUAAGCGCCAUGGUUAUUGGUAAAAUGAAAAAAGAUGCUGAAAUUUACUUGGACACUGAAGUGAAGAGAGCAGUAAUAUCAGUUCCUGCUAGUUUCAACCACGCUCAGCGAAAGGCCACGAUAGAUGCAGGAAAAAUUGCUGGUUUCGAAACUGUUGAGUUAAUCAAUGGUACUACAGCAGCUGCCAUCGCAUAUGGACUAGAUAGAGAAAAAGACCAGGAACGAAAUGUCCUCAUCUUAGAUUUUGGCGGUGGAAAAUUUGAUGUCUCCAUCGUGAAAAUACAUAAAAGAAAUUUUCAAGUUAUGGGAGCUUACGGUGAUUCUUGCUUUGGAGGUGAAGACUUUGACAACAAUCUUGUUCGACACUUCACAGGAGAUGAAAGUAAUUUCAACGACAAAAAAGCUAUUUGUCGAUUACAAGAAGCGUGCGAGAAGGCAAAAAGAACACUAUCUGGUGCUUCGCGUGCACGAAUACGUGUGGACUGUCUUUUCGGUGGGAAACCUUUUGGUUCUGAGAUUACCCGUUCUGAUUUCGAGGAUAUUAACAAAGAAUAUUUUGAUAGAGCUUUGGAGAUAGUUAAAAAAGUUUUUAGAUGCGCCAAUGUGAAGGAAUCGGAGAUCACCGAGUUGGUUCUUGUCGGGGGAUCAACUCGCAUUCCGAAAUUUCGUCACCUUAUUCAGGAAUAUUUCAAUGGAAUGGAAUUAAGUAGAACAAUUAAUCCAGAUGAGGCGGUCGCUUGUGGCGCAGCUCUUCAUUGUGCAAGCAAGAAGAUGAAUGGUUAUACGAUGGUAGAUGUUGCUUCUCGACCAAUUGUGAUCAAGGGUGACAGGAAUACACAGGAAUAUACUCUUGUAAAACCUCUAACUAAUUUACCCUCAACUACAAAACUUACGGCAUCACCCGGAAGCCAGUGGCAGGUUUUUGAAGGUGAACCUGUUGUCGAUAGCUCGACAGACUCGAUAUUCACUGUCCAAGCCGAUUCCAUGACAAGAACCGAAUUUGUUUGGGUAGUUGAAAUGAAUGGCCUAGUCAAUGUUGAAACUUCUGUAAAUGGGGAAACAACUAAACCGAAUAUAGUCAGCAGAAACACACGAAAUGUUUCAAAAGAUGAUAUUCAAAAAAUGAUGGAACAGCAUGCAGAAUUUCAGAUGGAUGAUGAUCUGAUAGCAAAAGCAAGUGACGAGCGCAAUGAUCUGGAAAAAUCUGCAUACAACAUCAAACAAUCCAUAACGAGUGCCGUGUAUAAAGACAAACUAGAAAACAAUGUUAAAGAGGAAAUCACUUCUGAAUGCAACAGAAUUUUAGAGUGGCUAGAUGAAAAUCAGAAUGCAAGUGUCGAUGAAUGCUCCACUAAAAGAAAUGAAUUGGAUAGAAUUUGCCUUCCACUAUUAGAGAAGAAACGAGAAGAACAGAAAAAGAGAGAAGAGGAAUAUAAAUUGCGUCAGAAAGCAAGGAAUGAUUUGAAAUUUUUCAUCAAUGAUGCAGAGAAUAAAGCCAAACUUGAGCGUUUUAAGUUUGCCCCAGAACAACCUAUAAUUCUGAGAGAUUGUCAAAAUUUGACAAAAUUAUUGGUCGACAACCAGAAUGCGACAAUAAACGAAAUAAAUGACAACUUGCAGAAAUUUCGAAAAUGGAUCGAGACGAUGUUUGAGAAAAUGGAACAAUCCGUGAAGACCAUGAAUUUGAAACAGCAAAAAAUUGAAGACGAAAAACGAGAACUUUGCAAGGAAGCCCAGAAUGAGUUGAAAAACUUUAUCGAAGAUGCUGAGAGCAGAGUCAAACUUCAGGACUAUGAGUUUGCCAGGGAUAAACCAGAGAUUCUUCAAAAUUGUCAAAACUUAAGAAAAUGGAUGGAGGACAAUCAGAAUGCGACAAUAAACGAUAUAAAUGACAAAUCGCAGAAAUUUCGAAAAUGGAUCGACGAUACGUUUGAGAAAAUGGAACAAGUCGUAAAGGCCGCAACUAAAAAAAACUUCAACUGAUAUCUGAAUCAAAACAAAAACUUGAGGAAUGUCUUAUCGAAAUAAAUAAAGCUCUAUCUGAUCCCAAAAUUGAGGAAUACCUUGUCGACACAGAAAAAGAAAUAAUAAAUAAAUACUGUGCUAAAGCAAAUGCUUUGCUCAAUAAAUCGAAUCCGAGUAAAAAAGAGUUGGAUAAAAGAAGAAAUGCCCUAGAAAAAAACUGCUACCCAAUUUUUGCUCAAGUAGAUAACAAGG